rnacentral:rRNA from 1 species
UACGAAGGGUGCAAGCGUUACUCGGAAUUACUGGGCGUAAAGCGUGCGUAGGUGGUUGUUUAAGUCUGUUGUGAAAGCCCUGGGCUCAACCUGGGAAUUGCAGUGGAUACUGGGCGACUAGAGUGUGGUAGAGGGUAGUGGAAUUCCCGGUGUAGCAGUGAAAUGCGUAGAGAUCGGGAGGAACAUCCAUGGCGAAGGCAGCUACCUGGACCAACACUGACACUGAGGCACGAAAGCUAGGGGAGCAAACAGG